UAUUCUGAAGACUAGACUUUACGGCUAGACAUUUCGAUUUUAGGACUGCAAUGCUUUUAAUGAACAAGACAUCGGGCUUCAUAAUACCGGUGCUUUCAACAGAAAACAAAUAAUGAUCGCGUACGCGGCCUAAUUGCACCUUAUCUGCAAAUUCGGGAUGUCUCAAGCAUUCGCGGGAUACGGUGUCUUUUCGAACGUCU